UAUAACGAUCCUUGGCACAUAAUAAAAUUUAUACAGAUAACAGCUGUUUUAUCAAUAAUGUUAUUUAAGUAUUAGAUACUGGAUCCUUAUAUUAAGUUUCUAUACAAAUGAGUUGACAGCAAUAGAAAUAAAAGACUGUUCUUCAGAUACGAAGUCAUAGUGUGUGCAUGCAAUAUCAGUGAUAGUAAAACAACUUUGCUCCAAUAUACCCUAUUGCCCGAUUAUGACCCUGGCAUUAGAAUUCUGUUGACCUGAAAUUGCUGAGUAAAGCUGAAAUCUGUUCAGGCAGGGAUCAAACUCAGACUUUGACCUCUUUGGUAAUGCUGGCCAACCAAAAACUGGGUAGAUGGUAGUGCCAUGCAUUAGCUAACGAGACCUAUUAACUCUUUUAGGUCCCUUUGAAAGCGCAGGGCUGCAGUUCCCUGAAUACUGAGGAGAAGCUGGCUCACUGCACAUUGGUGCCGGGUACAGAGGCCUCACACUGGUCACUUCAGACCAGAGUUCCUAGUGCGAAAUGGCUACACGUUUCACCUCAGCUCAGCAGGUCCGGAGCAGAAGCGGCGCCCGACGCUGCACUCAAGAUGGCGGCGGGCCGUGUGCAGAGACGCUGGGCUCGCGCGGCCACGGGCGCCGGAGCAGCUGGGCUGCGCCCGCCCCGCCAGGGCUGCCCCUCCCCCGCUGGGGGAUUUCCCUACAAAGCAGCCCACCCUCCGCCUGCGCGCUCAGCGGUGAAGCCUGUGCUUCAGCGGUCUGGCUCGCACCUCUCCAUUCUCUCAUCGAAGAAUAAAGCUUAUUUUGUUUCUGAACUGAA